rnacentral:lncRNA from 1 species
AAUGGAACAAAGAAAUCCAGGUUUAGUGCAACCCACUGAACUAUAUUUAUUGAAAGCUGGAGCAGCCGUUCAGAAAUUUAUCCUCCUGGGCUGGCCUGGUGGCGCAGCGGUUAAGUUUGCAUGUUCCACUUCUCGGCGACCCGGGGUUUGCCAGUUCAGAUCCCAGGGGAUUGGUUAACAGCAAGAAAUUUAAACCCUGGCUCUCCUUUUCUGUCGAUCAAAGAUUCUCCAGGCCCCUGACUCCCCCUCUCCUCCGGGGUGCUUCUGAGAGGCAGGAGCUGGUUCCUCAGCGGUUCGUGAGUGGAACCGGAAUGAGCAACAGAUUAGCCCUGAGCUAACUACUGCCAAUCCUCCUCUUUUUGCUGAGGAAGACGGCCCUGAGCUAACAUCCAUGCCCAUCUUCCUCUGCUUCAUACGUGGGAUGCCUACUACAGCAUGGCUUUUGCUAAGAGGUGCCAUGACCACACCCGGGAUCCGAACCGGCAAAGCCCAGGCCACUGAGAAGCGGAACAUUCGAACUUAACCCCUGUGCCACCAGGACGGCCCUAAAAAAUUUUUUUAAGAAAAUGUGCUCUUUGGUUUCUUAGAAGAUUUUAAGUCUUCCCAGGUUCCCAGUUUUAAUCAAUCAAUAAAAAUGUCUGACAUCGAGAUAACAACCUGAAAAGAAAACCAACUAAAUCAAGGCAGAAAACUACAUGUGCCAACCGGGUGAUGUAAUAUUUCCAGAGUUCAGAGAAAGGAAGGAGAACCACAGGCUGGGAGGUCAGAAAGCCUCACAGAGGAGGUGGGACAGUAAGCAGACAGGUUUAAGAAUAUGGACACAGACCCUGUGUUAGUAAGGGGUCUCUGGGUCCGGGGCAUGGGUUCCCGACAAAUCAGCCCUAUAUGCAUCCUCACAACACAGGCCUUAGGGAAAUGCCUUCCUGGAACAUUGGCAUUUGCUCUUGGGCCUCCUCAAAA